UACGUAGGGAGCAAGCGUUGUCCGGAAUCAUUGGGCGUAAAGCGCGCGUAGGCGGCCCUGUAAGUCCGCUGUGAAAGUCAAAGGCUCAACCUUUGAAUGUCAGCGGAUACUGCAGGGCUAGAGUCCUGGAGAGGAAGGUGGAAUGCUUGGUGUAGAGGUGAAAUUCGUAGAUAUCAAGCGGAACACCGGUGGCGAAGGCGGGUCUCUGGACAGUUCCUGACGCUGAGGCACGAAGGCCAGGGGAGCAAACGGG
rnacentral:rRNA from 1 species